rnacentral:rRNA from 1 species
GAAGGGACCUAGCGUAGUUCGGAAUUACUGGGCUUAAAGAGCUCGUAGGUGGUUAAAAAAGUUGAUGGUGAAAUCCCAAGGCUCAACCUUGGAACUGCCAUCAAAACUUUUUAGCUAGAGUGUGAUAGAGGUAAGUGGAAUUUCUAGUGUAGAGGUGAAAUUCGUAGAUAUUAGAAAGAACACCAAAUGCGAAGGCAACUUACUGGGUCACUACUGACACUGAGGAGCGAAAGCAUGGGUAGCGAAGAGGAUUAGAUACCCUCGUAGUCCAUGCCGUAAACGAUGUGUGCUAGACGUUGGAAAUAUAUUUUCAGUGUCGCAGCGAAAGCAUUAAGCACACCGCCUGGGGAGUACGACCGCAAGGUUAAAACUCAAAUGAAUUGACGGGGACCCGCACAAGCAGUGGAGCAUGUGGUUUAAUUCGAAGAUACGCGCAGAACCUUACCAACACUUGACAUGUUCGUCGCGAGACUAAGAGAUUAGUCUUUUCAGUUUGGCUGGACGAAACACAGGUGCUGCAUGGCUGUCGUCAGCUCGUGUCGUGAGAUGUUGGGUUAAGUCCCGCAACGAGCGCAACCCUCACUUUUAGUUGCCAUCAUUAAGUUGGGCACUUUAAAAGAACUGCCAGUGAUAAGCUGGAGGAAGGUGGGGAUGACGUCAAGUCCUCAUGGCCCUUAUGUGUUGGGCUACACACGUGCUACAAUGGUACUUACAAUGGGAUGCAAAGAGGCGACUCUUAGCUAAUCCCUAAAAUGUACCUCAGUUCGGAUUGUACUCUGUAACUCGAGUGCAUGAAGCUGGAAUUGCUAGUAAUCGCGGAUCAGCGCGCCGCGGUGAAUACGUUCCCGGGUCUU